AAACUGGCACACUACUAGGUAUCAAGAUUGCGCAAGUUUUUAACAGUGUUUUUUACCCAACAUAUAAAAUUCAGUUUGUCUCAUACCUGUACGCUUCGGAGAUGUUUAUUUAUAAUAAAAGUGCAGCGGCGCAUACGUAUAAUCGAUCCCGCAAGUUUAGUGUAGCAUUUCAAAGCGAACUUUGUUGCACCGGAUUACUUUGUCACAACAUAUAAAGCGUAUUAAACAUGGAUGUACAACUUGCGGUAAUGUUCCUCUUUAUUGGCUUAACCGUAACCUUGAGCAGGGGAGCGACACUUCCAGCUGGUAAUGCGACAGCAGCUGCCGCACCUGCUGCAGAUCCAGAACAUAAAGGUGGAGAAGCGACAGGAACGGUGGCGGAGUGCUGGAUAAAAAAUAACUGCACUAAUUCGGAUUGUAUUAAUAUUCCCGUCGACAAGCAACAUACUUUCUUUUCGGAUUCGAAAUGUUCUAAUGAGUGCGCAAACUGUGUUUUGGCAAACGGUUAAAUUGCUAAUAAUUUUGACUUUUGCUAACCAAAGUCCAGAGAGGAUAUUUGCGUCAGAUUUAUGUUUUGUGGGUUUAUCGAAUUAACUCGAAGAGCCGGAGCAGCUGCAGUGCAGCAAAUCGGGAGAAUAAAAGUCACUUCAGCAUAAUCAUACUUUUCUGUGA